rnacentral:rRNA from 1 species
UAAGUAGGUAGUGAAAUCUGGCGGCUCAACCGUACAGACUAUUAUUCAAACUGGCAAACUCGAGAAUGGUAGAGGUAACUGGAAUUUCUUGUGUAGGAGUGAAAUCCGUAGAUAUAAGAAGGAACACCAAUGGCGUAGGCAGGUUACUGGACCAUUUCUGACACUGAGGCACGAAAGCGUGGGGAGCGAACCGGAUUAGAUACCCGGGUAGUCCAUGCCGUAAACUAUGGAUACUA